rnacentral:rRNA from 1 species
GAUGAACGCUGGCGGCGUGCCUAAUACAUCCAAGUCGAGCGAACGGACGAGAAGCUUGCUUUUCUGAUGUUAGCGGCGGACGGGUGAGUAACACGUGGAUAACCUACCUAUAAGACUGGGAUAACUUCGGGAAACCGGAGCUAAUACCGGAUAAUAUUUUGAACCGCAUGGUUCAAAAGUGAAAGACGGUCUUGCUGUCACUUAUAGAUGGAUCCGCGCUGCAUUAGCUAGUUGGUAAGGUAACGGCUUACCAAGGCAACGAUGCAUAGCCGACCUGAGAGGGUGAUCGGCCACACUGGAACUGAGACACGGUCCAGACUCCUACGGGAGGCAGCAGUAGGGAAUCUUCCGCAAUGGGCGAAAGCCUGACGGAGCAACGCCGCGUGAGUGAUGAAGGUCUUCGGAUCGUAAAACUCUGUUAUUAGGGAAGAACAUAUGUGUAAGUAACUGUGCACAUCUUGACGGUACCUAAUCAGAAAGCCACGGCUAACUACGUG